rnacentral:lncRNA from 1 species
UGGAACUAAAAAAAAGAGCAAAUUAAAAGUGCUGGAGCAAUUACCGAGAAUUAAAAUGGCAAGAAUCAAAUGAAGUGUAAUCUGGAAGAGAAUUCAAACACCUAAGGUGCGUAAAUAAAUUUAGCUGUAGUAAAAUAAGCUUGUAGUAAAAUAAACUUGAAUUUAAUCAUUAAAUGCAAGGGUGCUCCUCUAAAAUAAAGAAAUUAAAUGCAUCAUUGCUUACAGCUCAAAAAUUAAUCAACCCUUCCUAUAUCUAAUCAUCGUGCACUGCUCUACAAGAAAGUAAUUCAAUGCAAUAAGUGCUUGUGGCUGGUUCUACUUGAUGUCACCCUCCAUGUUUUCUCCCAGUUAUGAAAGUCUCCCUCUAAAACCUCUGGCGGCUGGCUCUCUAGUGAGUAAUGUAACAGUUGCUACUCCUAGGGUUCCGUGUCACCCAACUCUGCUGGGCCUUUUCUUUUUAAAAUGAACCCGUG